AGUGAACGCUGGCGGUAGGCCUAACACAUGCAAGUCGAACGGCCACACAGUAAGCUCUUUCUCUUACCGUUGGCGACUGGCGGGCGGGUGACGCAUACAUCACAUUCUACUUUUUCGUGGGUGAUUACGUAGGGCCACUUCCGCUACUACCUCAUAUGUCCUACCGCUUAAAUCAGUAGAUCUUCGCGCCUUUCCCGUUUGUAUGAGAUGACUUCGGAUUAGCUAGUUGGGAUGGUAAAGGAACACCAAGGCAACGAUACGUAGCCGAUCUGAGAGGAUGAUCAGCCACACUGGAACUGAGACACGGUCCAGACUCCUACGGGAGGCAGCAGUAGGGAAUAUUCCACAAUGGGCGAAAGCCUGACGCAGCAAUGCCGCGUGAGUGAUGAAGGUCUUCGGAUCGUAAAACUCUUUUAUUAGGAAAGAACAAAUGUAUAAUAAAAUAUCCACGUCUUGACGGUACCUAAUCAAAAAGCAACGGCUAACUACGUG
rnacentral:rRNA from 1 species